UAACAAAUCCUGACCAUGCAGUCAGGUUUUUGUAAAGAGGAUAAUCACUGUGUGAAUUCUGGUGUGAAGCUAAUAUUUGGAAAUGGAACAAGACUGACAAUAGAAGCAAAAGAAGAAUCAAAAACAGCAGCCUUUGUCUUAGGAUCUGACAAAGACAAUAAGGAAGGCAAAGCCAGAGCCUGUCUCAUCACAGACUUCAGUUUCCAUAACAUCAGUGUUAAUUUGGGAGCUGCAGAUGUUCCUAUAGAGACUUCAGUAAUUAAAGGAGACAAGCAAUACAGUGUGGUAGCAUUUCUCCCAGAAAGCAAAGUGAGAUCAAACUUCAAAUGCAAUGUAGUUGUUAAUGGCAGUAUGACUACAGGACACAACAAUGAUAUAGAAAAUGUGUGUGAGUCUGACUUGGCAUACGUUUUUGAAUCAGAUGAGAAGCUGAACUCUUUGUCUUUGAUGGUGCUGGGUCUGAGAGUCAUAUUUCUGAAGAGCAUUGCAUUCAAUGUGCUCAUGACAAUCAGAGCGUGGAUGAGUUAGGAUACAUCAAAUAUAUGACCAAGACAUGGAUUGUUGAACCAAAAGGAAUGAAGCAAACAUUUUAUUAAAGCAGUUUUCAGAAGUUCUAGGCUUGUGGGUUUGAUUAGGCUUUACAGAUAUUAUUGGAAAUUGAAAAUACUUUGCCAUACUUUUAGCAGUAAGGUUUUGUAAUGGCAAUAUGCUUUAGAAUGCAAUAUUAAAAUAAUCAAAUUUGCUUAUAAAAUGCAUGUAGCCUUUAUCAAGAUAUUUUUUCAAUGUGCUUAAAAUAUAGAUUGUAAACUGUCUGGUUUGAUUAUGUUAGUUAACUAAACAAUGCACUGUAUUUCACAGAGCUUUAACUCAAACAUUAUUUUUUAAAACAUCCAUCAACGAAACUGGGAACUGAUCAAAUGGGAAGCUGUUGUUGAAGAAAUUGUUUAAGCUCAGCUCUUUUGGAAAGAGAAUAGUGGCACAUCUACGUGGUUCCUGUUACUGUGCAAACACAAUGCACACAUGUACUAGUUAGUUAUGAGUGAAAGCUUUGUGAAUAGGUGCCAAAGUAAUUACAAACAGUGAAUAUUCAAAAUAUAUAUUAUUGGAUAUAUUGAACAGUGCAUAGUAACUUGAAUCAGCAACAUUGUUCUGUUAAAUAAGCAGAAUUUCAUUAGAAAAGUAUGUGCUUUGCCAUUUAUCCUUCAUGUAGCUUAUGCUAGUAUAUAUUGAUUACAUAUUAAAUGUACAAAAUUGUGCGUUUUCACCAUGUCUGUAUCACAUAUAAAAUACUGUAAUAAUAAUUAAAAAAAAAUUAUUACAAAAAUAA